ACCAGACUCCUACGGGAGGCAGCAGUGGGGAAUAUUGCACAAUGGGGGGAACCCUGAUGCAGCGACGCCGCGUGGGUGAAGGAGUAUUUCGGUAUGUAAAGCCCUAUCAGCAGGGAAGAACAAUGACGGUACCUGACUAAGAAGCCCCGGCUAACUACGUGCCAGCAGCCGCGGUAAUACGUAGGGGGCAAGCGUUAUCCGGAUUUACUGGGUGUAAAGGGAGCGUAGACGGCAGUGCAAGUCUGGAGUGAAAGGCGGGGGCUCAACCCCCGGACUGCUCUGGAAACUGUACGGCUGGAGUGCAGGAGAGGUAAGUGGAAUUCCUAGUGUAGCGGUGAAAUGCGUAGAUAUUAGGAGGAACACCAGUGGCGAAGGCGGCUUACUGGACGACAACUGACGGUGAGGCGCGAAAGCGUGGGGAGCAAACAGGAUUAGAUACCCCAGUA
rnacentral:rRNA from 1 species